rnacentral:lncRNA from 1 species
GUCAACGAUCAGGGAUCCAUAUGAUCUAGACAAACUUCAAGAGGUAACUCAGCAGACAACUCAUCACAAAUGUCCUUAUCGACGUCAUCUAAGAGGGGGCCCAACAUAGAAAGGGUGAGUUGUAGGAAACUCAAUAAGGCAUACAAUAUUAAAUUGACUAAGAAAUCAUAUAAAAUAAAAAGUGUUCAAGAAAAAUACCU